UGUAUAUAAUAAUGGUAAGAAGGGAAUUGGCAAUAGUGGUUAGUCAAGUACCAUAAGUUAUUAAAGGGUGAAACGGGUUCGACGCAGUGGGUUCUGCGUGUUAGUAAAAGUUGAGAAGGGAGGCGCCCGAUACCCACACGGUUUAGUUAUCCACUGACCACCAUAAGUGAUAAACACACCGCUCUCGCUGCUCGCGUCACCACACCAUCCACGCCCCGUCUUCAUCAUGCUAUACACCAGCAGUAUAGUCUGAGUCGCCGGCCAGCACACCAGCAGCCCAUUAAGUAUAUAUCUUACUAGGAGGCCUCUUUAGUUUGUGUAUACUGGACAGGGUGGCCAGCUGCGGCAUACUGUGGCAUACAACAUACCUACUGCGAGACCGACGCGAGAUGGGACUGUCGGGAGAUGAGGUUCAGGACGGGGACAGAUGGAGAGGACGAGGGAAACGCAGCGACCUCGUUUGAGCCCCGCUAAAGAGCUCACCACGAAGGAAAGGUUGUUUAUCGUUCCCGCGGCGAGUAUUGAAAUUCGUGUUAGUCCUGAAAAACGGCGGCGAUAUAGAUAAUGAAGGAGAAGGAAUAACAUUACGAUUUGCAUAU